AACUAUGUGCCAGCAGCCGCGGUAAUACAUAGGUCACAAGCGUUAUCCGGAAUUAUUGGGCGUAAAGCGUUCGUAGGUGGUUUGUCAAGUCUAGAGUUAAAGCCCAGGGCUCAACCCUGGCCCGCUUUGGAUACUGGCUGACUAGAGUUAUAUAGAGGUAAGCGGAAUUCUUAGUGAAGCGGUGGAAUGCGUAGAUAUUAGGAAGAACACCAAUGGCGAAGGCAGCUUACUGGAUAUACACUGACACUCAGGGACGAAAGCAUGGGGAGCAAAUAGGAUUAGAUACCCUAGUAGUCCAUGCUGUAAACGAUGAUCAUUAGUUGCUAGGGAACUUAGUGACGCAGCUAACGCAUUAAAUGAUCCGCCUGAGUAGUAUGCUCGCAAGAGUGAAACUUAAAGGAAUUGACGGGGACCCGCACAAGCGGUGGAGCAUGUGGUUUAAUUUGAAGAUACGCGUAGAACCUUACCCACUCUUGACAUCUUUUGCAAUGCUAUAGAGAUAUAGUGGAGGUUAACAAAAUGACAGAUGGUGCAUGGUUGUCGUCAGCUCGUGCCGUGAGGUGUUUGGUUAAGUCCAGCAACGAGCGUAACCCCUGUCUUUAGUUACUAACAUUUAGUUGAGAACUCUAGAGAGACUGCCUGGGUAACCAGGAGGAAGGUGGGGAUGAUGUCAAAUCAUCAUGCCUCUUACGAGUGGGGCCACACACGUGCUACAAUGGUCAGUACAAAGAGAAGCAAAAUGGUGACAUGAAGCAAAUCUCAAAAAACUGAUCUCAGUUCGGAUUGUAGUCUGCAACUCGACUACAUGAAGUCGGAAUCGCUAGUAAUCGUAGAUCAGCUAUGCUACGGUGAAUACGUUCUCAGGUCUUGUACAC
rnacentral:rRNA from 1 species